UGGGGAAUUUUGGACAAUGGGCGAAAGCCUGAUCCAGCAAUGCCGCGUGUGUGAAGAAGGCCUUCGGGUUGUAAAGCACUUUUGUCCGGAAAGAAAUCCUUGGCUCUAAUACAGUCGGGGGAUGACGGUACCGGAAGAAUAAGCACCGGCUAACUACGUGCCAGCAGCCGCGGUAAUACGUAGGGUGCAAGCGUUAAUCGGAAUUACUGGGCGUAAAGCGUGCGCAGGCGGUUUGCUAAGACCGAUGUGAAAUCCCCGGGCUCAACCUGGGAACUGCAUUGGUGACUGGCAGGCUAGAGUAUGGCAGAGGGGGGUAGAAUUCCACGUGUAGCAGUGAAAUGCGUAGAGAUGUGGAGGAAUACCGAUGGCGAAGGCAGCCCCCCUGGGCCAAUACUGACGCUCAUGCACGAAAGCGUGGGGAGCAAACAGGAUUAGAUACCCUGGUAGUCCACGCCCUAAACGAUGUCAACUAGUUGUUGGGGAUUCAUUUCCUUAGUAACGUAGCUAACGCGUGAAGUUGACCGCCUGGGGAGUACGGUCGCAAGAUUAAAACUCAAAUGGAAUUGACGGGGUCAUAGCUG
rnacentral:rRNA from 1 species